GGCUCCUCUUGGCACCCUCUCCAUUCCGAGGAUAUAAAGAGAUUCCAGCCUUCAGUAUCUCCCUUACGCUUUGAAGGGUUCUCUUCCUCUUUUGCAGAUCUGGCAAACUGCUUUUUCUUUCAAUCUUGCGUCAUAGAAGGUGGCACAUUCUCCUGACUCUUCCUCCUCAGGGAAGCACCGAUCCGGGUCCAGUCCUCAUUUCCGGUCUCACAACAUGCCUAGUUUGAACUCGACUGUUUGUAAUUCCACAAGAACUAGUGCACAACAAAGGCAGUGAAACAGGGACUUUGUUUUUCUUUUUUCUAUUUAAGGCUCUUGGCGCCUGCCGUCCCAUCACUCAGGCGCAGCUCAGGUAGCGUGCGCAGCGAACAAGCUAUACUAGGCGCGCGGCCGAGUCGCGUGGUGUGUGCUAAGUACCAGAAACACAAGCGCGCACGUAGGCUGCAGGACCGCAGAAACUUCCUGUACAGUCCCUGAGAGCUGGCUUCUAUCUCUUCCUCGUUAGUAUAGUGGUGAGUAUCCCCGCCUGUCACGCGGGAGACCGGGGUUCGAUUCCCCGACGGGGAGAGUAUAUGAACUUUUAAAGGGCCCCUUCAAAAA